rnacentral:ncRNA from 1 species
GGCCACCUCAGGGGGGGCGUUUACCAUAGGCAGAGUAUUACUUUGCCGUACAAGCAAACGGAAGACAGAAA